CAGUCGCCGCGGUAAUACGAAGGGGGCUAGCGUUGUUCGGAAUCACUGGGCGUAAAGCGCACGUAGGCGGAUUUUUAAGUCAGGGGUGAAAUCCCGAGGCUCAACCUCGGAACUGCCUUUGAUACUGGAGAUCUUGAGUUCGGAAGAGGUUGGUGGAACAGCUAGUGUAGAGGUGAAAUUCGUAGAUAUUAGCUAGAACACCAGUGGCGAAGGCGGCCAACUGGUCCGACACUGACGCUGAGGUGCGAAAGCGUGGGGAGCAAACAGGAUUAGAUACCCCGGUAGUCCCUGUCUCUUAUAC
rnacentral:rRNA from 1 species